rnacentral:rRNA from 1 species
AUACGGAGGGUGCAAGCGUUGUUCGGAAUUACUGGGCGUAAAGCGCGCGUAGGUGGUCUGUUAUGUCAGAUGUGAAAGUCCACGGCUCAACCGUGGAAGUGCAUUUGAAACUGGCAGACUUGAGUACUGGAGGGGGUAGUGGAAUUCCCGGUGUAGAGGUGAAAUUCGUAGAUAUCGGGAGGAAUACCGGUGGCGAAGGCGACUACCUGGCCAGAUACUGACACUGAGGUGCGAAAGCGUGGGGAGCGAACAGAAUUAGAAACCCCAGUAGUCC